AUUGAACGCUGGCGGCAUGCUUUACACAUGCAAGUCGAACGGCAGCGCUGGCUUCGGCCUGGCGGCGAGUGGCGAACGGGUGAGUAAUGCAUCGGAACGUGCCCAGUAGUGGGGGAUAGCCCGGCGAAAGCCGGAUUAAUACCGCAUACGACCUGAGGGUGAAAGCGGGGGACCGAAAGGCCUCGCGCUAUUGGAGCGGCCGAUGUCGGAUUAGCUAGUUGGUGGGGUAAAGGCUUACCAAGGCGACGAUCCGUAGCUGGUCUGAGAGGACGACCAGCCACACUGGGACUGAGACACGGCCCAGACUCCUACGGGAGGCAGCAGUGGGGAAUUUUGGACAAUGGGGGCAACCCUGAUCCAGCCAUGACGCGUGCGGGAAGAAGGCCUUCGGGUUGUAAACCGCUUUUGUUCGGGAAGAAAUCCUCUGGGCUAAUACCCCGGGGGGAUGACGGUACCGGAAGAAUAAGCACCGGCUAACUACGUG
rnacentral:rRNA from 1 species